AGAGUUUGAUCCUGGCUCAGGAUGAACGCUAGCGGGAGGCUUAACACAUGCAAGUCGAGGGGUAAGGAGAUAGCAAUAUUUCCCUAGACCGGCGCACGGGUGAGUAACGCGUAUGCAACCUGCCCUUUACAGGGGGAUAGCCCGGAGAAAUCCGGAUUAAUACCCCAUAGUCCUGUUGGAUCGCAUGGUUUGACAGGUAAAGCUGCGGCGGUAAAGGAUGGGCAUGCGUGACAUUAGCUUGUUGGCGGGGUAACGGCCCACCAAGGCUACGAUGUCUAGGGGUUCUGAGAGGAAGGUCCCCCACACUGGUACUGAGACACGGACCAGACUCCUACGGGAGGCAGCAGUGAGGAAUAUUGGUCAAUGGGCGAGAGCCUGAACCAGCCAUCCCGCGUGCAGGAAGAAGGCCCUAUGGGUUGUAAACUGCUUUUGUGCAAGAAUAAAAGUAUCCUCGUGAGGGUAUUUGAAGGUAUUGCGUGAAUAAGCACCGGCUAACUCCGUGCCAGCAGCCGCGGUAAUACGGAGGGUGCAAGCGUUAUCCGGAUUUAUUGGGUUUAAAGGGUGCGUAGGCGGUAUUAUAAGUCAGUGGUGAAAUGUUGCAGCUUAACUGUAGAAUUGCCAUUGAAACUGUAGUACUUGAGUUAUCUUGAGGUAGGCGGAAUGUGUAGUGUAGCGGUGAAAUGCUUAGAUAUUACACAGAACACCGAUUGCGAAGGCAGCUUACUAAGGAUAAACUGACGCUCAGGCACGAAAGCGUGGGGAUCGAACAGGAUUAGAUACCCUGGUAGUCC
rnacentral:rRNA from 1 species